CCUACGGGAGGCAGCAGUGGGGAAUAUUGCACAAUGGGCGAAAGCCUGAUGCAGCAACGCCGCGUGAGCGAUGAAGGCCUUCGGGUCGUAAAGCUCUGUCCUCAAGGAAGCUACUGACGGUCCUUGAGGCGGACGCCCCGGCUAACUACGUGCCAGCAGCCGCGGUAAUACGUAGGGGGCUAGCGUUAUCCGGAAUUACUGGGCGUAAGGGGUGCGUAGGUGGUUUCUUAAGUCACAGGUGAAAGGCUACGGCUCAACCGUAGUAAGCCGUUGAAACUGGGAAACUUGAGUGCAGUAGAGGAGAGUGGAAUUCCGGGUGUAGCGGUGAAAUGCGUAGAUAUUAGGAGGAACACCAGUUGCGAAGGCGACUAUCUGGCACAUAACUGACGCUGAGGAGCGAAAGCGUGGGUAGCAAACAGGAUUAGAUACCCGUGUAGUC
rnacentral:rRNA from 1 species